GAACCCGUGGCUCAGUGGUUAGAGCGUUUGACUUCUAACCAACAGGUUGCAGGUUUGAUCCUCCGGCGUUG
rnacentral:tRNA from 1 species